AAAAAAAAAAAAAAUACUGCUGAUAUGGAAAUGGAAUUCUGUGAAAGCUUGAGAAGUAUACUUAGUGUCCUCUAUUUCUCUCAUGCAUGCAUGUACAGAAUGGAAGAUGGAGUCUGCAUGUUAAAUCACUGGGAAAUGAUGUCCAAUGGCUUCCAAGUAGAGAUAGUUUGUUGUGAAUAUUUUCAAUGAUUGGCACAAACUUAACGUUUAGAAAAGUUCUCCCAGCAGUUUCGCAGCCAAAAAGACAAUCCCAAUAUAAAUGGGAAAUUUCAAAUAGUUUCACAAAUAUUUGAGAAACCAACAAGUAACAUUGUUCAAACAAAUAUAUGUCUAGUUGCAAGUUUUGGACUGUUCCUGAAAAUAUAGGUUUUGUGCAAUGUAAUUUUUGUAGCUAGCCACUUUGAUUUUUGUUAUCUAAUAGCAACAUAAAGCAUGAUCAAUUUAUUUUAUUGCUGAAAUUUAUGCAAGAAUAGGCACCUUGAAAAAAGCUAGGCAGGGAUAGUUCAGUCAUGUUCAUACUAAAUUAUUGCAAACAAGAAACUGUAGAAAGAGCUACAGAUCCGUAAGCAGGUUUUAUUUAUUUAUUUUUGGAGGGGAUGGGUGGGGUUGCGGUUGGCAGGGGAGGAAAGGGCUGUAACAAGUUGCAAUAAUUCAAUUGCUAGCUGGGAGCUUAACAUGAAAUUGUGCAUCUAACUUGUGAAAGCAGGAUCUUGUGUGCAUCCAAACUAGGAAAUGUUAUGCUGGGCAUAGCUGUCUGACAUACAGCAAAUACCACAGUUGUAAUUCUAAUUGGCUCUAAAUUCAAAGGAUAGAAUGUAGCAAAGCUAUUACUUUUGCUACAGCCUGCUCACAACAGAAUGACUUCAAUCUAACAGAAAUAAUAAGCAACUGACUGUAUUACUACAAAUUGGAAAAGUAAAUGAUUGGGACUUGGAAACGAAAGCAUUGAAAUUCGCUUCGAAUGCUUGACCGAGAAAAUAGCACCCCUGCUCUUAAUUUUGCAAGUCAAUUGUCACGGUGAUCUAUUAUCCAGUUAACCAACUGAUGAUUAGUGGGAUGCAGCAAUCAACUAAACAAUACCCAAUUGCUCACACAAGUCUGGUAAAUUACCAAUCUCUUAGAAAUAAGCAGAAAAAUCUUUAUUUUGGUGGGGAGCAAAAUCACAUUUCGAUUCAUAGCUAGGAAGGUUCAGCAUUGAGAGCUUGAGAUAUUGGAAUUCAAUACCAAUAAAAGUUGAGCAAUUCUUUUGUUUUUCUCAUCCUAAGAAGAAACCCAGUUAAGAUUUCUAAUCCUCAUAUAAGAUAUGCUAGUGCAAUCAAACAACAACAAAAAUAUAACCAGAGAGAGAGA
rnacentral:misc_RNA from 1 species